rnacentral:rRNA from 1 species
GUGGGGAAUAUUGGACAAUGGGCACAAGCCUGAUCCAGCCAUGCCGCGUGAGUGAUGAAGGCCUUAGGGUUGUAAAGCUCUUUCAGUGGGGACGAUAAUGACGGUACCCACAGAAGAAGCCCCGGCUAACUUCGUGCCAGCAGCCGCGGUAAUACGAAGGGGGCUAGCGUUGUUCGGAUUUACUGGGCGUAAAGCGCACGUAGGCGGAUCGUUAAGUCGGGGGUGAAAUCCUGGAGCUCAACUCCAGAACUGCCUUCGAUACUGGCGAUCUUGAGUCCGGAAGAGGUGAGUGGAACUCCUAGUGUAGAGGUGGAAUUCGUAGAUAUUAGGAAGAACACCAGUGGCGAAGGCGGCUCACUGGUCCGGUACUGACGCUGAGGUGCGAAAGCGUGGGGAGCAAACAGGAUUAGAAACCCUAGUAGUCC